rnacentral:rRNA from 1 species
CACCCAACACCUAGCCUCACAAAUUCAAAAACAACAAUUCACCUAUUUAUAACCCCUAAGCCCCUAACCAUCACAUAAAUAAACCAUUUUACCACCCUAGUAUGAGCGACAGAAGAGAACCAGAUGAGCAAUAGAAAAAGUACCGCAAGGGAAAGGUGAAAGAGAAAUGAAAAACCCAACAAGUAAUAAAAAGCAGAGAUUAAACUCGUACCUUUUGCAUCAUGUUUUAGCCAGCCACCUCAAGCAUAGAGCCCUUUAGUUUGACUCCCCGAAACUAAGCGAGCUACUCCAAGACAGCCUAUCUAAGGGCCAACCCGUCUCUGUGGCAAAAGAGUGGGAAGAGCUUUGAGUAGAGGUGAUAAACCUACCGAGCCUAGUUAUAGCUGGCUGCCUGGGAAAUGAAUAGGAGUUCAGCCUUCUGAUUUCUUUCCUCCUCGCAUCACCGAUAAAGACCUAGAGAAGUCAGAAGAGUUAAUUAUAGGGGGAACAGCCCCUAUAAUAAAAGAUACAACUUUAAUAGAAGGAUUUUGAUUAUUCAAGCUUAAAGGACAGUAUUUUAGUGGGCCUAAGAGCAGCCAUCGAAACAGAGAGCGUCAAAGCUCCGACAUAAUCCAACCUAAAAAUUCUGCCUACCCAAUCUUAAACCUCUAACCCUACCAGGAACUCCUACGUUUUACGUAGGAAAUAUACUGCUAAUAUGAGUAAUCAGAGAGCACAGCCUCUCUCCAAGCAUAAGUGUACAUCGGAACGAACCCCCACCGAAAACUAACGGCCCCAAAAGAAGAGGGAACUGAUCAAGAAAGAAGACGACAGGAAAAACACUCAACAAAAACCGUUAACCUUACACUAGCAUGCCUCCAAAGAAAGACUAAAAGAAAGAGAAGGAACUCGGCAAACACAAGCCUCGCCUGUUUACCAAAAACAUCGCCUCUUGCAAACUACAAAUAAGAGGUCUCGCCUGCCCUGUGACAAUAAGUUCAACGGCCGCGGUAUUUUGACCGUGCGAAGGUAGCGUAAUCACUUGUCUUCUAAAUGAAGACCUGUAUGAAUGGCACGACGAGGGCUUAACUGUCUCCUCUUUCCAGUCAAUGAAAUUGAUCUCCCCGUGCAGAAGCGGGGAUAUACACAUAAGACGAGAAGACCCUGUGGAGCUUUAGACACUGGGGCAGACCACGUCAAGCGCCCGGCACAACGGGUAAAACCGAGUGGAACCCUUCCUGAUGUCUUUGGUUGGGGCGACCGAGGGGCGAAAAACCUCCCCCAUGCGGAAUGGGAACACCUUUCCUACAACUAAGAGUCCCCACUCUAAUUAUCAGAACUUCUGGCCAUUAUGAUCCGGCAAAGCCGAUCAACGGACCGAGUUACCCCAGGGAUAACAGCGCAAUCCCCUUCUAGAGUCCUUAUCGACAAGGGAGUUUACGACCUCGAUGUUGGAUCAGGGCAUCCUAAUGGUGCAACCGCUAUUAAGGGUUCGUUUGUUCAACGAUUAAAGCCCUACGUGAUCUGAGUUCAGACCGGAGUAAUCCAGGUCGGUUUCUAUCUAUGAUGUGAUCUUUUCCAGUACGCAAGGACCGAAAAGAGGGGGCCCAUGUAAAAAUACGCCCAACCUCCACCUAAUGAAGUCAACUAAAUUAGACAAGAAGGCACACCCUACCACCAAAGAUAAUGGUGU